AUUGAACGCUGGCGGCAGGCCUAACACAUGCAAGUCGAACGGUAACAGGAAACGGCUUGCUGUUUCGCUGACGAGUGGCGGACGGGUGAGUAAUGUCUGGGAAACUGCCUGAUGGAGGGGGAUAACUACUGGAAACGGUAGCUAAUACCGCAUAACGUCGCAAGACCAAAGAGGGGGACCUUCGGGCCUCUUGCCAUCGGAUGUGCCCAGAUGGGAUUAGCUAGUAGGUGGGGUAACGGCUCACCUAGGCGACGAUCCCUAGCUGGUCUGAGAGGAUGACCAGCCACACUGGAACUGAGACACGGUCCAGACUCCUACGGGAGGCAGCAGUGGGGAAUAUCGCACAAUGGGCGCAAGCCUGAUGCAGCAAUGCCGCGUGUAUGAAGAAGGCCUUCGGGUUGUAAAGUACUUUCAGCGGGGAGGAAGGGAGUAAAGUUAAUACCUUUACUCAUUGACGUUACCCGCAGAAGAAGCACCGGCUAACUCCGUG
rnacentral:rRNA from 1 species